UACAGAGGGUGCAAGCGUUGCUCGGAAUUAUUGGGCGUAAAGGGUAGGUAGGUGGUCUCAUUUGUCCGUGGUGAAAUCCUUGAGCUUAACUCAAGAAGUGCCUCGGAAACGGUGAGACUGGAAUCUUGGAGAGGGUCGUGGAAUUCCCGGUGUAGCGGUGAAAUGCGUAGAGAUCGGGAGGAACACCAGUGGCGAAGGCGACGACCUGGACAAGUAUUGACACUAAACUACGAAAGCGUGGGGAGCAAACAGG
rnacentral:rRNA from 1 species